rnacentral:rRNA from 1 species
CCUACGGGAGGCAGCAGUGAGGAAUAUUGGUCAAUGGGCGGAAGCCUGAACCAGCCAAGUAGCGUGCAGGAUGACGGCCCUACGGGUUGUAAACUGCUUUUAUACGGGAAUAACGCGCCUUACGUGUAGGGCUUUGCAUGUACCGUAUGAAUAAGGGCCGGCUAAUUCCGUGCCAGCAGCCGCGGUAAUACGGAAGGUGCGGGCGUUAUCCGGAUUUAAUGGGUUUAAAGGGAGCGUAGGCCGCAUGUCAAGCGUGCUGUGAAAUGUCCGGGCUCAACCCGGGCCCUGCAGCGCGAACUGGCGUGCUUGAGUCCGCGGAAAGCAGGCGGAAUUCGUCGUGUAGCGGUGAAAUGCUUAGAUAUGACGAAGAACCCCGAUUGCGAAGGCAGCUUGCUGCAGCGGAACUGACGCUGAUGCUCGAAAGCGCGGGUAUCGAACAGGAUUAGAUACCCGAGUAGUC